rnacentral:rRNA from 1 species
AUUGAACGCUGGCGGCAGGCUUAACACAUGCAAGUCGAACGAGUGGCGGACGGGUGAGUAAUGCUUGGGAAUCUAGCCUAUGGAGGGGGAUAACUACGGGAAACUGUAGCUAAUACCGCGUACCAUAGGAUGAGCCCAAGUGGGAUUAGGUAGUUGGUGAGGUAAAGGCUCACCAAGCCGACGAUCUCUAGCUGGUCUGAGAGGAUGACCAGGCACACUGGGACGGAGACGCGGCCCAGUCUCCUACUAGAGGCAGCAGUGGGGAAUAUAGCGCGAAGGGGGCAACCCUGCAGCAGGCAUGCAGCGUGAAUGAAGAAGGCCUUCGGGUUGUAAAGUACUUUCAGCGAGGAGGCGUAACUCGCAGAAGAAGCACCGGCUAACUCCGUGCCAGCAGCCGCGGUAAUA